ensembl:lncRNA
GAUGUUAUUUUCCUUGGAUUGGAAAUAAACCCACCAGAACAUUUUGUUUUAAUUUUUAAAAGUCAGACUCACUGGGCUACUCUAAGGCUUUCCAGCUGACUUUCAGAUUAUAGACAGCCCAGGACAAGAAUAUCAGGGCUGGCAUUUGUAAUCUUUCUCACAUUGAUGACUUACUUGGCAAAUAGGAAGUAUUUUGUUAGCACCAUUGUCCUAUGAAAGACACUGUAUGGGAUGCAGACACUAUAAAAUGUGUGUGUGUUUAUACAAUCAACAUUAAGAGGAAGAGAAGUAAUUUUGACCAGAGCGAUUGAAGCAAAGCUUGGGGCUAAAAAUCAUCUCAGGAAAAAGGGCUGGACACCACUUGGCCUGGGGAACCGUCAGCAGUGUUUACAGGAUGCAAUAGCAAAUUCCGGUCAUGACCCACGGAGCUGUUUAGAUUUCAGCCGAAAUUAAAACCCGCAGCAUGGGAUCACCACAUCAUAGUCUUAGCUCUCAUUUCAAGUGCUGCUCAUGAGAACCUCACCAUUUCUGUGGAGCCCUUUUAAAGAUCUCUGGGACCCCUCGGGCAAGAGGCACGACAGGAAGGUCCACAUGCUAGCUCAGCUCACCACGACUGUUUGCCCAGAGCCGUCAGUCGGAUCAAAAGGCUGUGCUUGGCAGAGGACCUGCCACCAUCUUCCUGCCAAACAGUCUCUUGUGACUCAGAUUCUUAAACUUGUUUUAAAGGGAGGGGGAAAAGUCACUUUCGGGGAUGAAGUUCUUGGCCCAACUCUGCUUUGUACAAACGCAGUCUAUGUCUAUUUUGGUAUUCUGAGGUUUUGAAGCAGCUGUUGAGUUGUGGCAAGGGUGACUGGAUUGGUGUUGGCCCAAAUCAAAAAGAAGAGUUCUCCAUCCUUUCAGUGCUGGGAGAUGGAAAACUGAGAGUACCACCUUAUACGGAGCAGCAGGGCUGCCCAAAGGGAAAUAAGUGUGGACAUCAUUUCACAAAGAACCAUUUGCAAAAGCCCAAACUUGUACAGAUGAAUACCUUUGUUAAGAGUAAGAAUCCUUACUCUACAGAAGGAUACAAUUUUGAUCAUGUUGACACAGAAUGUCUAGUAUGUUAAGACUAUUCAGUUCAGUUCAGUUCAGUCUAUUAACAUAAUUUAUUAAAGGUCGAUCUGCCUUGUUUUUUGAGGGGACAUGGCUCAGACAGUAAAGAAUCUGCCUGCAAAGCGAGAGACCUGGUUUCGAUCCCUGUGUCAGGAAGAUCCCUGGAGAAGGGAAUGGCAACCCACUCCACUAUUCUUGUCUGGGAAAUUCCAUGGACAGAGGAGCCUGGCGUGCUAAUAGUCCAUGGGGUCGAAAAGUGUUGGAAACAACUAAGCGACUAGCACUUUCACUUUUUUUUUUUCACAUCCAUUAUGGAGCUCAGUGGUAAAGUAUCCACCUGCCAGUGUAGGAGACAUAGGAAACUUGAGUUGGAUCCCCUGGGUCAUGAAGAUUCCCUGGAGAAAGAAAUGGCAACCCACUCCAGUAUUCUUGCCUGGGAAAUCCAUGGAGAGAGGAGCUUUGUGGGCUACAGUCCAUGGGAUCACAGAGUCAAACAUGACUUAGCAACUGAGCACGUACACACACCCAUUAAAUGAAGCCAGCUUCUUGUUCAUGAGUGUGAUUCUCAUAACCUAUUGAAGGCCAGGAGUGCAAGGGGGAUGGUCUCCAGCCCAACCCCCUUUCCUGGUACCCACUGUCUUUUGAAUCCACUUCAGGAGCCUGUAAGCCUCCCCUCCCAUGUGGACUUCCUUCUUUAACAUUUAUCUGACUAAGGCACAAAUCUAGCAUAUUACUGUUGUCAAUCCUGGGAAGUCAGUGAUUUAGGAAAUGAUAAUGUAAAGAGAAAAAGGAAAACGAGUAUGACGUAAAAUAGCUCAGAAACUUCCCUGGUAGUCCAGUGGCUAAGAAGCCACCUUUCAAUGCAGGUUCAAUCCCUGGUUGGGGAACUAAGAUCCCGCAAGCAACUGGGCACCUGAGGCCAUGCACCUCACCAAGAGAGGAGCCUCCACGUGCUACAACGAAGAUCCAGAGCAGCAUUAAAAAAAAUAAUAAUAAUAACUCAAUGUUUUGAGGGUCAGCUUAAGACAACUCUCCCUGUUGUGUUCUGAAAAAGUAAACACUGAAGUUCCUUUUGUGUCCUUCAGUUGAGAGCAUACCCACAGAGGUAGAAGAAGCCAUGCUAUAAAACAAAGUCUCCUUACACCAAGGGAAGCUGCCCAUUGCACACAUGGCUUUGCCCCUCAUCCAUCCAUUCUGUUGCAUUCACUGAGGCACCUGUAGUCUGUAGAGAACCAGGGCACAUGGAUGUCAGCCUUGCUUAUCAUGGUGGCCACUUGGCUCUGCAAAUCCCCACCACCUCUCAUCCUCUCGUCCUCUGAAGGCUUUUCUUCUCACUUUUCUUUUCAGCCAAGGAAGAACCGAAGAAGAGCCAGUAAAUGAUGAGUCCAGGGGUCUUCUUAUCAGACCUCCUGUGUUUGGCUUGGCUGGAAAGCCUUAGUUUCUCAGUCUUCUGAUUAUCUUGGUCUCAGGGCUUAGCACAGCAUUACAAAGCGAUGGCUAAACAGAGAAAAAAAACUCUAUGUCUCAUCAUGCAAAUAAAUAUUUGCCCGAACAUGAAGUAGCUAAUCCAUUAGAAUAACCAAAUGCUUUGGAGGUCUUAACAAGCAAAUCUUCAUUGAUACAACUGAGAAGUUUUUGAUGUGUUUAAAAAUUGAGGAAUUAUUUGUAGCAAGAAACUGUUGUGCAAUAAGUUUCAAAGAAAGAAUUUGUUGUACUCCCUCCCCCUAAAAAAUGCAGUAUGCCCAGAAGCUGGCUUCCCAUUGUCCUUAACAGAGUGUAGGACGUCCACCACGGAGGGUCCAUCACUGAAGGGUCAGUAUCGUAUGUUAUAUCAGGGCAUAUUAUAAUUGAAGAGUGCCUGGGAUUUUAUUACUCACCAAAUGCAGCAGAGGUGGCGGGGGAGAGACAAAAAAGUGAAGGUCUUGGAGCUGCAUUUUUUACAAUUAACUAGCCAUAAGGAGGGACUUGACUUUCUGGGACUAAGGAAAACAAAUUUGCAGGCUCAUUCUGUCUGUGAAAAUAAAACUGUAUUUUAGGAAAUAAAGUUGAUGCCAUUUAAACAUGAACCCCAGGACAUCCCUGGCUUACUGCAGCUUUAUGUCUUUUCUCUUCAUUCGAUCUGUUCAAAAUAUAAAGACGGCAUUUCCGCGUUGCCAGGGAAGCAAAUGUGAGCUGAUGGGCUGAUUUUAGCUGCUGUAAUUUUCCUAUAAUCCUUACUAUUGCUGCAACAAAUAAGAUCCCUGUAAAGUACAGUUCCACUACGCACUGUUCGUGUACACAACCAUCUUCUCCAUGUCUUAGCAUUUUGUCGAUUGAGUUGAUCUUACCAACUUUUCCCUCCUUGUAACAAAGUUCAUCUGAAUCAUGCUGGGAGUUCGAUCUUUGCUCUGUGCUAUAGGAGGGAGGUAUACCUCUCUGUUGUCAGGUAAACACGCUCAUGUGUAUGAAUUGUUAUACUUGAAUUCACUGCAGCAUUUUGUAUGGAUGCUAUAUAUGACCCCCAGCCUGGCUACAAUGGCUUCUAAAGUGUUUCACUCUUUUUAAAUGGACUCAGUGUCCAUGGAAUGUGCUGUUUAAGUGUCUGAAUUUUCUACAUGCCAUUUUUACAGAUCCAUUUGUUUAUGAUGUGAUGUGGUGAACGAUCAUGUUUUUUUAAGAAAACAAAUGUAUAUAUUUACUAAGCAGAUGAGUAAAUUAUUAUUAUUGAACAAGUAGACUUUAUGUAUCAUGUAGCCCACUGUUCAAAAGGAAUUUAUUUGUUGAAUAAAGUGACUUCAAAUUAUAAGCAUUUCUAAUGUCCUUCUAAAUAUGGAUGCCAUAAUAUUUAAAUUGUGUUGCUCAAUAUCAAUGUAUAUUCUCUAAUAAAAUAUUUUAAACCUCUUUCUUUAGAUGUGUGGUACCCUACUUCCUCAGUCAUAAGUCAUUGUUAAUAUAUCUGUUGAGAAUUAGAGUGUGGUAUCCUUUUUUUUUUCAUCAUAAGGAAACAAUGUUCAGGAAAACGCUAAAUAAAAUUUUGCAAUCAGAUCAGCUAUGAAAAGUAAACAAUCAUGAUAGUAUGACUUUUUCCCUUUAUUUAUAGUGGAUAACAAACUUGAAGUUUAUUGUAUAUUAGUAGUCUUCAAUUUUGUAAUCAAAACAGAACUU